UGGCCUGGUCAUUUCUGUUAGGUUGUGCCA
rnacentral:piRNA from 1 species